UACGUAGGGUGCGAGCGUUAAUCGGAAUUACUGGGCGUAAAGCGUGCGCAGGCGGUUCGGAAAGAAAGAUGUGAAAUCCCAGGGCUCAACCUUGGAACUGCAUUUUUAACUGCCGAGCUAGAGUAUGUCAGAGGGGGGUAGAAUUCCACGUGUAGCAGUGAAAUGCGUAGAGAUGUGGAGGAAUACCGAUGGCGAAGGCAGCCCCCUGGGAUAACACUGACGCUCAUGCACGAAAGCGUGGGGAUCGAACAGG
rnacentral:rRNA from 1 species